rnacentral:rRNA from 1 species
CACGUAGGGGGCAAGCGUUGUCCGGAUUUAUUGGGCGUAAAGAGCUCGUAGGUGGCUGAGUAAGUCGGAUGUUAAAUCCCCAGGCUCAACCUGGGACACCACCCGAUACUGCUCUGGCUAGAGUCCGGUAGGGGAGCGUGGAAUUCCUGGUGUAGCGGUGAAAUGCGCAGAUAUCAGGAAGAACACCAAUGGCGAAGGCAGCUCUCUGGGACGGUACUGACGCUGAGACGCGAAAGCGUGGGGAGCGAACAGG